UUCUAAAUUAAGUCAUUGGCGGUUUAUUAGGGUCUUUUGGGUAUUUUAAUUAAGUAUAUAAAGGGUAAACACCUUAAAGACUUCAAUUCUUCCAAAUUGAAAACCCAAAACUCUUAGAAAAAUCCCAAAGACUCCAUUCAAGUCCAAAUUGAAAAAGCAGCUUGUUGUGGGGGUUUUGAGUGGAAAUUCUUCAUCCAAGUGAAUAAUUAUCAUUCUUGAGAUUGGAAGCUUUUGAAGGUUUGAAGGCUAGAAGCAAGAGCUUGGUUCCUACCUUCUUGCGGGGCAUGAAUAUCUUCCACCGAUAAGUAAAUUUCAUCGAGGUGUGAAAUCUUUCCACGAUGCAUAACUUUCUGCGAGGCAUGAAAUCCUCUCGUGAUGCAUAAAUUUCGAC